rnacentral:rRNA from 1 species
GACGAACGCUGGCGGCGUGCCUAAUACAUGCAAGUAGAACGCUGAAGAGAGGAGCUUACUCUUCUUGGAUGAGUUGCGAACGGGUGAGUAACGCGUAGGUAACCUGCCUUGUAGCGGGGGAUAACUAUUGGAAACGAUAGCUAAUACCGCAUAACAAUGGAUGACACAUGUCAUUUAUUUGAAAGGGGCAAUUGCUCCACUACAAGAUGGACCUGCGUUGUAUUAGCUAGUAGGUGAGGUAAUGGCUCACCUAGGCGACGAUACAUAGCCGACCUGAGAGGGUGGUCGGCCACACUGGGACUGGGACACGGCCCAGACUCCUACGGGAGGGAGCAGUAGGGAAUCUUCGGCAAUGGGGGGAACCCUGACCGAGGAACGCCGCGUGGGGGAAGAAGGUUUUCGGAUCGUAAAGCUCUGUUGUAAGUCAAGAACGGGUGUGAGAGUGGAAAGUUCACACUGUGACGGUAGCUUACCAGAAAGGGACGGCUAACUACGUG